CAAUAGCGUAUAUUAAAGUUGUUGCGGUUAAAAAGCUCGUAGUUGGACCUUGGGCCUGGACGGGCGGUCCGCCUCACGGCGUGUACUGUCUUGCCGGGCCUUUCCUCUUGGUGAUCUGUUGUUUCGGCAGCAGGGAACCAGGACCUUUACUUUGAAAAAAUUAGAGUGUUCAAAGCAGGCUCGACGCCGGAAUAUAUUAGCAUGGAAUAAUAAAAUAGGACGUGCGGUUCUAUUUUGUUGGUUUUUGGAAUCGCCGUAAUGAUUAAUAGGGACAGUCGGGGGCAUUAGUACUCACAUGCUAGAGGUGAAAUUCUUGGAUUUUGUGAAGACUAACUUCUGCGAAAGCAUUUGCCAAGGAUGUUUUCAUUAA
rnacentral:rRNA from 1 species